GCGUAGAGCUUCCUCAGACAGAGGAAAUGCUUGAUGAGGAGCCAGGGGUUGUCCGACACUUCGGUGGGGGGAGUGUUACACGGAGGGGGAGCCAAGUCAGGGCAAGCAUUGUUGCAGAAUAUUUCAGCUGAAUGAUCACACAAACUGUGGACGACCACAACGGCAAAGACAGCCAGUGAGCCCACAUCAGGCAGCUUCUCAGCCCCCUUCCCCUUCUCACUCCCCCUCCACUUCCCAGUCCCCCUCCCCUUCUCACUCCCCCUCCACUUCCCAGUCCCCCUCCCCUUCUCACUCC